GCCACCCCUGAGACAGCAAGACCAACAACCCCUUCUCUUCCUCUUCAGCCUACUCAGUGUGAAGAUGAUAAAAUGAAACAGUUGGUGAUGUUUCAGAGAACCCAACUCAAACUGACUUGAACAAGAGAAAUCAGUGUUUACUGCAGAGAACACAGAAGCCAGCAAGCAGCAGGGAAGGGAGGCGAACCAAUGCAGCAGCCCACCGGGACCGAGGAGGACACACGCAGAGCAAGUCACAGGAAGCGCAGCUGAAAACAAAUGGACGCUUAUCCCAAAUGCACAGGACACUUACCAAGAACUGAUGGUCCGUCAAAGUAAAGCUCAACAGCUUUGGCUGGCAGGACAGUCAAACUUUUGGACGACAGAAAGUAACAGUGGGAAAUGGGACAACAUCUGCCAGCAACGCGAGAGGCCAAGACCAUGGCUGCUACAGGAGGGGUCAGCGUCACAGUACACGCAUGGCGGCGGUUGCACAUGCAUGCCUGGGGAAUGUGAGUGUUCAGACAUGCCAGGAGUCCAGCCUCACCAGGAAACAGGCACACGGGGACAGAGGCGCAAACACUGAAAACUCUCGCUGAAUCCACUCGGCUGAGCGGUGGUCACGAGAGCACGGCCCUGCGCUCCCCACAAAACUGCACCUGGGCCCCAGGGCGAGACAGGCGUGGAAGGUGCAGGGGUGUGUGUGGGGGCAGGGGCUCCUGGCUCAGAGCCGUAUCCAGGAACCCCCCUUCAGGCUGGAGCCCUGCCCUGAGCCCCCUGUGGAGAGACUGUGGAGAGCCCCCUGUGGAGAGGGUGACUGUGGGAGAGCAGCAUCAGGCCUAGUCUCGGCUGUGAAGUACCCCCCACCUCCACGCAGGAUCCCGGGGAUUCUGUCAAGGUGGGGGCCGCCUGCUCAGCCCAGGCUCCCUGAACGUGUGGCUAGCUGAGUUUGCGGAAGAAACCAGGAGAGUGCCAACACCAGGCUUGCAAGCAAGAGGCUCCCUGACUGCCUGAUCCUGGAGCGCACCCCAUCCUCCCUGUGUUCCCUGGGCCUCAGCUGUUCCCCAGUGACCUUGGAGACACCCUGCCCCACCCUGGCUCCACAGGAGCCCUGCCCAUCACCGCCUCAGCUCUGAGUCUCCCCUGGGGACACAACCUUCCUCCUGGUGCAGAGGCGCAGGAUGCUGCCCCUAAGGCCCAUCUUCCUCUGCAGCAUGUUUUGAUGUCAGCUCAUUCACAGGAAAGAAACAAUCACAUCUCAGUGCCCAGAAUGGGGACCAAUAGGAGAGGUCACUGGGAAUAAAGCCCACACGCACCCCAGGGUCCAUGGGCUCCCCAGAAAUGCAGGUGGCCUCCGCCAGAGCCAACAAGCCUAAGUUGCUGAUCAGCCCCUCCCUGCUUCCCUGUGUGGAAGAGGAAACAGAGGCCCAGACUAGUAGGGCUCUGCCGUGGUGGCCGGCUGCGUCCCCAGACCUCUGGUCCCAGGGCUGGCUGGGAGUGCCCCUCCCUGUGCUCACUUCCUGCUCUCCUGGGAAAUGGCUCAGGGAUGGGGCGUGUGGGGACAGAUGCUGGCAUAGCUCACAAAAUGCUUGCACAAGGGACACUCCAUGGCAGGUCCCUGCAGGAGAGCAAAGUCACAACAUUCAGAGAUUCCCUGCACUCUGAGGCCCGCAGAGCCUGGCCGACCAAGCGAGGCUGGGAGGAUGUUGCCUGCUGGUCAGGGCAGCCCUCUGAUCAGGGCGGCCGAGUGAGGCUGGGAGGAUGGUGCCCGCUGGUCAGGGCAGCUGAGCGUGGCUGGGAGGAUGGUGCCUGCUGGUCAGGGCAGCCCUCUGGUCAGGGUGGCCAAGCGAGGCAGGGAGGGAGGUACCCACCGGUCAGGGCAGCCGAACAAAGCUGGAAAGAUGGUGCCUGCUGGUCAGGGCGGCUGAAUGAGGCUGGGAGGAUGGUGUCUGCUGGUCAGGGCAGCUCAGGAGGUGCUGCCCAGGAGGUGCUGUCCAGGCAGAGCCUAGGGCUGGUGUGGGUGUGCCAUGCUCCUGAGAAGUUUCUGGGUUGUGGCUUUAAUGUUCUCCUGCAGUGAGAACGCUGACACUUGGCCAAAGGGUCCUCACCUCUCCCCUAGUACACUUCUGAGAUGCCAGGAAGGUUCUGAACAUCAGAUUGAUUCCUGGGACUCCCCUCCAGGGUGGCCUUACUGGAGUCAGGAGCCCCUGCCCCACUAGGAUGGCUCUGCAGUGGCCUGAGGACAGUGAGCACUGACUGGUCACUGGUGCAAAGUUGCCCACUGUGAUGGUUUUGACCGUUGAUGGGAACCAAGUGAAAGCCCUGCAGCUAUUUCUAGGCAUUUCAGAGGGUGCUUCCCUGCAUGUACUCUGCUGCAGACCAUCCUCCCUGGGCCAGGAGCCCGCUACACAGUAGGAGAUUCUUUUUCUUCUCUUUUGAGCACUUUUAUUCUCUUUUUCUUAAUCUCUGCUCCUCCUUUGAACUGAGAAAUGUGCAAAUCUUUUUUGUUAGUUUUGAGGUUGCUUCUUAUGCAUAUUUCAUCUGGAACUUUCCCCUUUGGGGGUGAUCUGUUCUAUCAGCCUGCCCGCUGCUAGAGAGGCCGAGGUGGUCCGGCCAGCCGUGCGCUGCUGCUGGUGUCUCUGUGGGCAUGACCUGGUGAGAUAUCAUUCUGCAUCUGGGGGUCCAUCCUAUCAGCCCUGUGUUCUAGAUUCCCCAGUGACUGACAUUUAGCCAGUCUCCUCUGUCACUCUCCAGUGACAUGUACACACUGUUGGCACGAACUGCAGAUGUCACGUUCUGUGGCUGAGAGCCUCAGUGUGCAUCUGUAGUAGGAGGAUGUCAGUGAGGACUGUCCUGUCGCUGCUGAGCUGGCACCGACUGUGCCUGGUCUACACUCCAGGUCUGCCAAACGACCCAGCAAGGUCCUUCACAACUCUUCUGAUCCAGGAUCACACAUCACUUGUGCUUUGAUGCCUGCUUCUGAACAAUUUUACCUCCUGAGAUGUCCAUUUUUGGGAGUGUGAGCCCUCCUCUCCUGGUGACAGCUGGCUGAGGCCGUCCAGCCUCAGGACACACAGGGAACGGCUGCAUAAGGAGAUCUGGGGCAGGGGGCCCACCAGGAUGUUCUGCCCUGUGGGGGGCAACACCGGCUGUGGUCUGCCGGCGGCAUCCAGGGACAGUCUGUCUAGGUGAGGCUGAGGCCGCCCCCACUCGCUCCCUCACCCCCAUGCUGACAGCAGUGAGCUGACCACAGACUGGGGGAGCCCCACAGGGAGACUGGCCUCCCCAGCACAUGCCCCGCAGUGCCAGACGCGGUCAUCACAGAGGCAGGUACACGACACCACGGACGUGCCACGUACCCGCCAUCGGGACCAAGGACCACUGAGAAACCAUGAAGGCCAUGCAGCGACUGUGGUGGCAGGACCGUCAGGAGGCCAUAGGUGCCACGGCUCCCCUCUGGUGGUUCACCUGCCCACCUGUAGCUGGGGUGGCCCCUCCAGUGCGCUCCCCAGAGCAGAACACCCCCCAGGCAACACGUCUGAUGAAGGCCAACAGCGUCAGUCCUCUGGUGUUUGGUGACAUCAAAGCUGUGCCGAAAGGCCUUCCCUCACUGCUAACACUUGAAGGGCUUCUGUCCGGUGUGGACCCUCUGAUGGCGAAUGUGGUCUGUCUUAUGCUUAAAGAUCCACCUCCAUUAACUGCACUCUUAGGGUUUCUUCCUCUGAAAAGGAAUGAACACGGGAACCCCCUCAAAGGCAUUUUUAAAUGAAGCGUGGAAGGCAUCAAAGAUGUGCUCUUCUUCAGGACUCAGGCUUCUCCAUCAUUCUCUGUUCCUUGGAAGCGUGAGGGCUAAGGAGCUGCUGACUUCUCUCUCUUGGCCCCACUUCAAGAAAGGCUUGCUUCCCACACACCUCUCCACGCUCCCAGUGCGGGACUGACACUCUGCACCGGGAGGCCAAGGGCCACCAUCGUCUUGCUGGGAGAAGGUGUGACGUUUCUUGGUCAUAGGAGGGAGUGUGAUCUGACACCAGAGGACUUAAUAUAACAUUGCAGUGUUAACAUCUUCACUGGCAGAUUCAUGGACUUUCCCCCUCCUGAAUGCAUUUCAACACCUUGAAAUGAACGAUGCCUCAUGUCUCUGCAGGGUGGACAUAGCUCUAACUCUCUGAAGCUGAGUUGGACAGGUGAAACAUCCACAGUCUUUCUUGACCUGAAUCAAGCUCAGAGUGACAGUGUUUAAGAUUAUAUGUCAAGUUCUGUGUGAAAUGAGAGACCAUGGGGAUUCAUUAUUGCUGGAGUUGACGGUAUUGCAGUUUUAUAACCAUCUAAUAAAUUAGCAUUUAAUACUGAGAGAUUUCAUCUUAAACUCAGAGGAUUGCUUUGUUUUAAAGAAGAUUUUUGCAAGGAGAAGCAAUGGAAACCAUUCAGAAAAUGUGGGAGAUAAAAAUCCUAUUCAAGAAAACGGAUCUUGGAUCUUUGCAUUCACUUGAUUUGUCAGAAUAUUAUUCUGUGCUAAAAAAUAGAAGGGAUUAAAUGUUAAAAAUCACUGAGGCACAAUUCUCUUGAGUUCACCAAUUUUGUACUCCUAUUUCCAGUUUCUUUUCACAUACGUCAUUCUCCAUCCUGAUUAAGCUUGUUCUUUCUGAGCUCAUUUCUGAUACCAAAAGAAGUCAUAAAGUUCUAUAAGAUUAAGAAUUCUCUUAGAAGUACAGAUUUGCAUGAACGUCAAAGAAAAAAAUAUCACAUUUUACUCCCAUAUGCUUUAAUGAUUAUUUUAUUAGGUCAGGCAUGGCUUAGGUUAGAACCUUUGUGGUUUUUUUUUUUUUUAAAUUCCAUUUAGUUAAAUGUUGACACAAUAUUUUUGGAAUUCUAUAUUUUGACUUUUCCGUUAACCUAGGUCUGUUUUGGAGUGGGGAAGAGGGUAGGUCAUCAUUUCUAUUUAAAAUGGGAAUUGGCUAGGCGUGGUGGCUCACGCCUGUAAUCCCAGCACUUUGGGAGGCUGAAGCGGGUGGAUCACGAGGUCAGGAGAUCGAGACCAUCGUGGCUAACACGGUGAAAACCCGUCUCUACUAAAAAUACGAAAAAAAUUAGCCGGGCAUGGUGGUGGGCGCCUGUAGUCCCAGCUACUCGGGAGGCU
rnacentral:lncRNA from 1 species